ensembl:lncRNA TEKT4P2 tektin 4 pseudogene 2
CGCCCACUUCGCCAUUUUCCUCCGGAAGUGCGGAUCCCAGCGGCGGUCGUGUAGCUGAGCAGGCCUGGGGCUUGGUUCUAUGUCCCUGUAGCUAUGUUUCCAGUGUCCUCUGGGUGUUUCCAAGAGCAACAAGAAACGAAUAAAUCUCUGCCCCGCAGCGCCUCCACCCCAGAGACCCGGACCAAGUUCACACAGGACAAUCUGUGCCACGCCCAGCGCGAGCGCCUGGACUCGGCCAACCUGUGGGUGCUGGUGGACUGCAUCCUUCGCGACACCUCCGAGGACCUGGGACUCCAGUGUGACGCCGUGAACCUGGCCUUCGGGCGCCGCUGUGAGGAACUGGAGGACGCGCGGCACAAGCUGCAGCACCACCUGCACAAGAUGCUGCGGGAAAUCACAGAUCAGGAACACAACGUGGUGGCACUGAAGGAGGCCAUCAAGGACAAGGAGGAACCUCUGCACAUAGCCCAGACCCGGCUGUAGUUGCUCUCACACCGGCCCAACAUGCAGCUGUGCCGCGAUGCAGCCCAGUUCAGCCCCAGCUCACACCCCCCAACACCCCCAAGCUGGUGAGUGAGGUGGAGGAGCUGUACAAGUCCAUCACAGCGCUGCGGGAGAAGCUUCUACAAGCGGAGCAGUCCCUGCGCAACCUCAAGGACAUCCACAUGAGCCUGGAGAAGGACGUCACUGCCAUGACCAACAGUCUCUUCAUCGACCGCCAGAAGUGCAUGGCCCAUCGUACUUGCUACCCCACCAUUCUGCAGCUGGCUGGCUACCAGUGAGCAGCGGCACGGUGCUUCCCCCCAAUCCCCCAAAUAAACAGUGCGUUAGCUUUCUGCACAGUGUGUGU